GCUUUCUCUCUUUUUCUGGCUGGAACCAUGGAGGCUGUGCCAGAGAAGAAAAAGAAGGUUGCUUCUGCACCAGAAACCCUUAAGGAAAAGCAAAGAAAUUUCACAGAGUUAAAGGUGAAGCGCCUGAAGAAGUUUGCCCUGAAGACAUUUUUAAAGGCAAGGAAGAAGUUCAUCUAUGAGAAGCCAAAGUACUAUCAUCACAAGGAGUAUAGGUAGGUGUACUGGACUGAAAUUCAGAUGGCUAGGAUGGUAAGGAAAGCUGGGAACUUCUACGUGCCUACAGAACCAAAAUUGACUUGUGUCAUCAGAAUCUGAGAUAUCAAAUGAGAAGCCCAAAGGUCUGCAAAAAUAUUUCAGCUUCUUCAUCUUCCAUAGAUCUCAACGGCACCUUUGUUACGUUCAACAAGGCUUCAAUUAACAUGCUAAGGAUUGUAGAACCGUACAUUGCAUGGGGGUACCCCAAUCUGAAGUCAGUAAAUGAGCUCAUUUACAAGCAAGGCUAGGGCAAAAUCAAAAAGAAGCAGAUUGCCUUGACAGAUGAUUCCUUGGUGGCUCCAUCUCUUGGCAUCAUCUGCAUGGAGGAUCUAGGUCAUGAGAUCUAUACAGUUGGGAAAUGCUCUGAGGAAACAAAUAACUUCCUGUGGCCCUUCAAAUUAUCUUCCCUACCAGGUGGAAUGAAGAAAAAGACAACUCACUUUGUAGAUGGUAGAGAUGCUGGUGACAGGGAAGACCAGAUAAACAAGCUUAUUAGACGGAUGAACUAA
rnacentral:lncRNA from 1 species